rnacentral:rRNA from 1 species
GACGAACGCUGGCGGCGUGCUUAACACAUGCAAGUCGAACGGAAAGGCCCUGCUUUUGUGGGGUGCUCGAGUGGCGAACGGGUGAGUAACACGUGAGUAACCUGCCCUUGACUUUGGGAUAACUUCAGGAAACUGGGGCUAAUACCGGAUAGGAGCUCCUGCUGCAUGGUGGGGGUUGGAAAGUUUCGGCGGUCGGGGAUGGACUCGCGGCUUAUCAGCUUGUUGGUGGGGUAGUGGCUUACCAAGGCUUUGACGGGUAGCCGGCCUGAGAGGGCGACCGGCCACAUUGGGACUGAGAUACGGCCCAGACUCCUACGGGAGGCAGCAGUGGGGAAUAUUGCACAAUGGGCGGAAGCCUGAUGCAGCAACGCCGCGUGCGGGAUGACGGCCUUCGGGUUGUAAACCGCUUUCGCCUGUGACGAAGCGUGAGUGACGGUAAUGGGUAAAGAAGCACCGGCUAACUACGUG